GACGAACGCUGGCGGCGUGCCUAAUACAUGCGAGUAGAACGCACAGUUUAUACCGUAGCUUGCUACACCAUAGACUGUGAGUUGCGAACGGGUGAGUAGCGCGUAGGUAACCUGCCUGGUAGCGGGGGAUAACUAUUGGAAACGAUAGCUAAUACCGCAUAAUAUUAAUUAUUGCAUGAUAAUUAAUUGAAAGGUGCAAUUGCACCACUACCAGAUGGACCUGCGUUGUAUUAGCUAGUAGGUGAGGUAACGGCUCACCUAGGCGACGAUACAUAGCCGACCUGAGAGGGUGAUCGGCCACACUGGGACUGAGACACGGCCCAGACUCCUACGGGAGGCAGCAGUAGGGAAUCUUCGGCAAUGGACGAAAGUCUGACCGAGCAACGCCGCGUGAGUGAAGAAGGUUUUCGGAUCGUAAAGCUCUGUUGUAAGAGAAGAACGGGUGUGAGAGUGGAAAGUUCACACUGUGACGGUAUCUUACCAGAAAGGGACGGCUAACUACGUG
rnacentral:rRNA from 1 species